ACACAAAGUCUAAGCAGAGAGAGAGAGAUCUACCACAUCUGCGAGCAGCCUAGCUCUACCUAAAUACUAACUUUUGCUUGUCGUUUUUGGGCCCCAUAUAUAUAUACAUGGAUACCAAGGUUUUAUCCACCGGAUUUCGCUAAACGAGCUUGCCGCAAAGCUACAUCAGACCAGAAUCCGAGCGGCCUCGGCUGUCUGAAAUCUCUGCUUGUGAAGAUGUUCCCAUCAUCGACUUGGGUAUUGCAGAUAGAAGCAAAAUUGUCAAGCAAAUUGGCGAUGCCUGCAAAUAUUUUGGCUUUUUCCAGGUGAUCAAUUACGGCGUGUCACCGGAGGCAGUGCAGAAAAUGUUAGAGGUGGCUAUUGAGUUCUUUAGCCUGCCGGUGGAAGAGAAGUUGAAGGUCUAUUCGGAUGACCCUUCAAAAACAAUGAGACUUUCAACAAGUUUUAACGUGAAAAAA